CUACAACCACAUGCUUCUCUCGAAAUUAGCGCGAAACCGAACCGAGCGUAUCUACGUUUCAUUUAUAUCCUCUCGCUCUCGUUCCUAUCGGGUCAUUCGUGUCCGAGCAGCCGCCCGCGUCAGAUCGUAUCACGUUCGUUUGUUCCCUCUCACGUGCAUAUACACACCAACGCACACACACACACACGCGCCUGCAACGCCUUUUCCUGAGGUUGUUUUGUGUUGUUUUCGCCAAGAAACUGUACGGCCGCGGGUUCGCGCACUGCUGCGAGAUAUAAAUAAGAACAGUUAGAAGAAAGACAUUUCGCGCGCGCACAUUUCGGCCCGAAAAAAAAGAGAGUGUGUGCCGACUCCUUCGCUGUUGUAUCGCGGGUUUCUUCGUCGUUUUGGUGGCGACUUUGUUUGUACGCUGUGCUUCCUCGCGCGAUCGCUCCCUCCAUCCACUGGGCAAGCGUUGUGUAACCACUUGGUACUUUGGGGCUGUGAAGCACGCAAGCAAGUGUAGAAAGUGCUUUGAUUGCUGUGUGUUUUAUUGUAAGGAUUUUGUUGAUUGUUAUUUGUUAUCGGACAAAUUGUCGAGAUUUGCGUGUGAAAAGGCAGCUCCACUCAAGACAGUCAUGGGGAGCUGAUUGGUGUAAAUAUUUCCCAUAUACAAGUGUGAAUAAACGUUCAAGAGGAUUUGACUGCAAGGAGGUGGUUGAAAUUUUUGAGUGGAGAAGUACAGUACUGAAACGUAAACUAAGGUUGUGAAACAAGUGCCUGUUAAGAAACACAAAUUUAUAAAUAUUAUAUGCUUAUGUUUUGUUCGUGAAAAAGUUUAUUAAAACACAAAAAAGUAAAAUGACAGCGAGUAAGAUAUCCCGACCAACCGGCUUCCUGGGGACGUCUGCAGCAACACCACGGAACAGUGCUUUCGACAACUAUCGAAGCCAGGUGCCACAGAACGUCAACCGGACGAAACGGUGCCUGUUCGGUGUACCAGAUUCAAACGAAACAAAAAGACUGUACAAUGAAAGCGUACAACAGGAUCGUCAGCGAUUCAUCAACCGAUAUAAUUUUGAUACCGUGACAGGUCAGCCUGUCAGUGGCUCAUCAAUGACCUCAUCAUCAAUGUCGUCAUCAUCGUCACGCAGUAGCCCAUCCAGGGAAAACUGCAGGCCAAACGAGGCCAAAGGGCUGUGCAAAAAUGACUCCAAGAAGCCUUACACGAGACAGCAACAGCAGAAAUAGUCGAAUGAUCUGUCCAAGCAACCCCCAGUGAAAGCCAGUGCUGCCUCAGUACUGCUGAGAUUACGGCGCUGCUACAACUGAUAAUCAGUCUAAAAGAAACUCCAGAACCAGAACCAGAGGAGUUGAUGAGCAACGCAUUUUGGCGCAAAACGUUUGUUUGUGAUACACCUACCUUUUAAAUGAAAACAAACACCAUUAUUGCGGUUUGCGUGCGGAUCAACGGCAACAACAUCGUUUCAUCGGCGCGCGAAAAAAGUGAUGCUGAAAAUGUGCGACGCACAAAAAUAAUAAAUAAUUAUAAAUACAAGUUAAGUGACGAGUGAAAGAGAGCAAGAAAGAGAGCGAGAGCAAAAUCGGUCGAUUCGUAGUAGAGAACACAACUUUUAUUGUUGUAUUAAUUUAUAGCAAAUUUUGUUAAAUCAAGAAGAAAAAUUUUACUAUUAUUUGAUUAAUUGUUAAAGACCUACGGAAUAAACAAAUCUGUAAGGUCUUCUUCUCAUUGGAUAGAGUUUAUAUUAAAGGUGAAACGCGCCAAAUCCAAUUUCAUAAUUACCUCACGAUUUCCGAGGCACAAAUCUCAACGAACAGCCAACAGUGAAUCAUUUUCAGUACUGAAAAUGGUCACCACUGUAUUGAGAUGUCUGCUAUCAAAAAAGCGAGACCGGCCACUGCUGUGGCGGCCAUGAUUGGAUUCAUGCGCGUUUGCCCGUUAAGAAGUUUUCUUUUUUUGCUAGUGAUAGGGCAUCGUUUGUACCACCGAAUCCUCCCUUGAAUUGGAUCUGCCAAACCGCAUCUAGAAAGCUCGCGAGAAAAAACAACAAAGUGGACUGGAGCACAAAGCACGAGUUGUUCGCGUUCACUAGCGGUUUCUUUUCUUUUGUUUGUUUCAGCUAUUCAAUCAAAGAGAGAAGAAAGCAUUAAUAUUUCAUAGUGAUCUCAUAAUUUAAUUGAUAAUUGUUUUUUUUUAUUAUUUUUAUAGCAGAGAAAAAUUGUGGAAGCAUAGUAAUAUGUAGAUUUUUAAUAAAUCAGAAGUUGGAAACACGCAAAGCUAAAACCAAGCCAGAUUGCAGCCGUACUCUAUCGAGAAAACAAAUUGCUUACUAAAAGUUUAGACUUUAAUUUCAAAAAUAAACACAGACAUACACAAUCGUUUUACUAGCGGUGAGUUUUGUAAGUUCAUUUAAUUUUCACUUGAAGUAAUUGUAACAAUAAAUAGCAAUAAUUAUAAAA